CCUACGGGUGGCAGCAGUGAGGAAUAUUGGUCAAUGGGCGCGAGCCUGAACCAGCCAAGUAGCGUGAAGGAUGACUGCUCUAUGGGUUGUAAACUUCUUUUAUAAAGGAAUAAAGUGAGGUACGCGUGUCUUUCUGUAAGUAUCUUACGAAUAAGGAUCGGCUAACUCCGUGCCAGCAGCCGCGGUAAUACGGAGGAUCCGAGCGUUAUCCGGAUUUAUUGGGGUUAAAGGGAGCGUAGAUGGGUUGUUAAGUUAGUUGUGAAAGUUUGAGGCUCAACCGUGGAAUUGCAAUUGAUACUGGCAGUCUAGAGAACAGUUGCGGUAGGCGGAA
rnacentral:rRNA from 1 species